rnacentral:tRNA from 1 species
GUUUUCAUAGUGUAGUGGUUAUCAUGUUCGCCUCGUAUGCGAAAGAUCACCGGUUCAAAACU